GAUCGUAUUCGAUCUUUUGCUUCGGUGUACCCCUUGCGAAGGCGGGAUUCACCGGCGGGCAAAAUGUCACUUUGGUCGAUGAAUCGAUCGACGAUUGAUCAUCGGUGACAGAUCGCGAAACGUCACUCAUCGGGAAACGAUCAGACGUCACAACAUAUCGGCAUAAUCAAUAUUUAUGUAAACAUUGAUCAUGCUGAUAGAUUAUUGAAUGAUCUUCAGUCAUGUUCCAACGAAAAUCGGCCGAAUUUUCGUUGAAUCAAUAGGGUGUAUUGGUGUCGGCAAUGGGGUAAAAAUCCCCUUGAACGAAGGCUGUUUGCUGCCAGAGCAACAUCUUCAGGGCGAAGAUGUGCCUGCAGAAAUUCCUAGAAUUUCGGGAUUACCGUGCCAGCCAUCUUGAUUACUACAAGAUGCACUGCAGAUGUUUUACUCAACUAUUUGUAUAAACGCCAGGAGCGAUAUCAGCGGUGGAUAUUGGGUGGAAUGCACACAUCGAGCUGUGAGGACCUAACAGGAUGACUCCUCACCAACCCAUGUAUUCCGGUCCCGGUUUCCUGCAUCACCAGCUACUGCAUUUUGUACCAAAUAAGUUAAGUAAAUCUAUAAGGGAAAUAUACACAUAUUAACUACUUUAAGCGCCACAGGACCCUUCCGGUCUGGGCAAAAUCGUGAAAUUGAUUUUGAAAAGAAAUUCAACUCAAUCACUUCUGUCAAUUAUUAGUGACAGGUAAGUAUAAGUGUGCUGCUUUUUCUAAAAUUUUUAAAAUAUCACAGGUAAGUAUGGUUUUUUGGUAAGUAUUAUCACAGGUAGGUAUAGUACGUAUAGUGGAAUUAUGAUUUUAAAAAUUGUCAAGUUAGACGAUCACGACAAAUUAAAAUUGAACCGAGAAGAUUUCAAUAAAUAGUCCUCUCGUUCAGGACCUCUUUUUUAAACGGAAACCAUUCGUACUUCCACAAAUUUAUAUCGAGUUCGCUUUUAGUGUGUGGUUUUAGACAUUCGUGCUAAGCACGGAUCCCUGCCACCUCCCGUUGGAAAAUCCUUAGAUUUUCAUACUAACCGAUCCUCCGAUUACCUUUCACGAAAUUUACGUUGGGGGCGCCAAUUGUAACCACGGAGACUUGCGGGGCUGCUCCGCAGCCACAGUGGCUCCCAAUUACUCCCGGUUUCAAGCUCAGUAGCAUGAGACCCCUCGAGCUGGGUCUCAGGGCCGGCAUGCUACUCGGUAAUCGGAGGGGCUUCGCGGACAAAGUAUGAACAACUAAGAAGAUUCACAUUUCUAACAUUUAUUAAAACCUUUCUGUGGAGUGUGUGUGUGGGUUGGACAUUUUUGGUGUGGCGUGUAAGCGAGACUAAUAGGCCAAGGCACUGCACGGUACUCACUGUUGCUGCAGACUUACUCCUCGUCGCUUUGGCCCACACGGCUGCUCCUGCACUACCGUGUGGCCGGAAUUUCGCCGCCGGGGCAGCUUGGGAUCGCAAUGGCGGGUUUGUCGACCCGGUACUUGGCCG